GUGCUGGCUGGAGACUGCUGGAGCUGGGUCUGUUUUCCUGGGCUGUUGUCCCUGAGAAGCGUGACGCCUUGGUGGUCCAGGAAGUUGCCCUAGUGAGAAGCUUGGAACCUGUCUCUUCUAAUGAACAUCUUACUUUCAGUCACAAGGGAACUUGUGUUUGGCCCUGACUUAGAAGUAUAAAUAUGCUUUCAUUGACUUAAAUGCUACCUCGAUUCUUUGCUUCAUUAACGUCCAUGUGAGUGGUUCGUCGGCACAGGCAGCCCUCCCCUGUGCAGUGUUUAGUGUGAGAGUCCCAGAUUGAGUGUCGUGCUAAGCAGGCUGAAAUCUGAAUCAAGAGACGUUUUCAAGAUUUGUAUUAGGAAGGUGUACAACGGUUUAGUUGAAGUCGCCUUAUAAAACACAUAUGAUUUUUAUUCAUCCACAUACUGCUGGUUUGUGACUUAUUAGAGGAGUAAAUUUCUCUGCUUUUUACUUCAGUGACUAUAAGGAAAUAGAAUAUGGAAUAUGGCACAUAUUUGGCUUGAUUAGAACUUAAUUUCUUUUCUAUGAUAGCAUUUAGCACAUUAGCAUGUUUGUUGUUGUGCUAGUUACUUUUAGGUUUAAGAGAGAUGACAUUUUCAUUUAAUUACGUCUCAUUAUUUCCUUUUCCUUUCUUUCUAUGUCUGCGUCCUGCAUUUCUGAGCCAUCAAAAGGUCCCACAAUCACACCUUGCUGCUCUUCACUUCCCGAUCUUUCUAAGAUUGAUCUCCUUCCCUCCCACAUCCGUCCUCCAAUGAACAGGGAUUAUUCACUCUCCUUGCACAUGCCAUGCUUCUCAACCAUUUAGGUAUCCUGGUCAGCAGGAAGAAAAGGCGUUUGGGAAGACAUUUCUGCAUCCUUAUACAAAGACUGCCCUCCCCACCAUCAUUUCCAUUCCAUCCACUGUGAAAACCAGCCAGACAACGUUGUGUGGCUGGAAACCAUUGUGUCUGGAUUCAUAUUUUUUCAUGCAUCUUCGAAUACAGCCUCUUAACCAGAUGACAAGAAGGAAUAUUCCUCAGAAGAUAAGGAGAACAGUGGCUACCCCUAACAAGCCCAAACUCCUUUGAGUAAAGAAAACGUGUGCAUGGAAUCUGAACCUCUACAUGCUAAGGAGUCCUGCCGC